rnacentral:lncRNA from 1 species
GGCAGCGCACGGAGCGCGCCGGGCACCGACAGCCAGGAGGCUCGGUCGCAAGAUCUAAGACGCGGCAGUGCAGGUCCCAGUCCCUGCCCCUUUCGCAGGGGAGCCGCCCGAAUCCCUGGGAGACCAACCCGGAAAGUUAGCCAGGUUCCUCAGCAACCCGGCCACCCUCGCGCCCACCCCUCUUGUGUACGCACACGCAUCCACACCCCUUUCUGGGCUCCGUACUUGCCGUGGAAAUUCCUGGGGAGAACGGUCGCACUUUUCAGGACACCGAGACGAUUAAGAUCGUCAAAUUAAAAGGGGGCAGCCAUCAAAGAAAAUGAGAUAGACUUGGAUGGAAGGAGGCCAUGAUAUACUGUCAAGCGAGAAGACAUGUAAGUUAAAAACAGUACACAUAGCAUGACGCAUUUCUAUCACAUGCAUCUACACACCUCUCCAUGGACAAAGGCCAGAGGUGAACUACACUAAGUUGCUAACACACUAAUUAUGCCUAGGCAAUUUAGAAAACAGAUAUGGGUGUGUAUAUGCCCAAGAGGCACUGGAAGAAAGAGAAGACUUUGGCUCUGUGUAUGUGUGUGUGAACCCAAGUGCGUGCAUGUGUUUGUACAAGUAUAUGUUAGUGUAUAUAAGAGUGCAUGUAUGU